rnacentral:rRNA from 1 species
AGAGUUUGAUCCUGGCUCAGAUUGAACGCUGGCGGCGUGCCUAACACAUGCAAGUCGAGCGGUAACAGGCGUAGCAAUACGUGCUGACGAGCGGCGAACGGGUGAGCAAUGCUUCGGAAUCUGCCCAAUGAUGGGGAAUAACCAGUCGAAAGACUGGCUAAUACCGCAUACGCCCUUCGGGGGAAAGCGGGGGAUCGCAAGACCUCGCGUCGAUGGAUGAGCCGAAGUCGGAUUAGCUAGUUGGUAGGGUAACGGCCUACCAAGGCGACGAUCCGUAGCUGGUCUGAGAGGACGACCAGCCACACUGGGACUGAGACACGGCCCAGACUCCUACGGGAGGCAGCAGUGGGGAAUAUUGGACAAUGGGGGCAACCCUGAUCCAGCGACGCCGCGUGUGUGAAGAAGGCCUGCGGGUUGUAAAGCACUUUUAGUGGGGAUGAAAAGCACAUCACUAACACUGGUGUGUCUGACCUAACCCAAAGAAAAAGCCCCCU